GCUGCGCUCGGCCCUUGACCAAUCAGCGCGGGGGGCGUGGUCGGCGGCACCGUUGGAGAGUGCUGCGGAGGAAGCAGCCGGAGAGGGGCGCUGGGAGCUGGCAGCGGAGCGGGACCGGAGCGGCUGCGAGCGCAGAGCCGGGGCAGGGCGAAGCUCGGAGUCUCUCAGCCCCACAGCCGCCAGUGAGGCAGGGAGCAAAGCAGGAGCCUGCAGCACCGAGAGGCGGCGGCGAGCGAGGCUCUUGAGACGCCUGGCAGCGGCUCCGGGGGCAGAGCCGGCCCGGCCCAGGCGAGCCUCGCCACGGCCCUCGGCGGCUGCCGUCCGACUCCGUCCCGCCGGCGGGAGCCGCCCCGAGCCCUGCAGGCGUCUGGCCGCGGUGCUCGGCGACGGUGGCUGCCGGUGGAGGCCAGCGGCAGCGAGACGCCAGCGGCGGCAGCCUGCAUCGCCUCUGCUUCUCCCAGCCGGCAGAGGCUGCAAUGACAUCCCCCAGCAGCCUGCUUCAGGCGAAGCUGAAGAGCUGUAGCUCAGCCUUCCUUUGUGGCAGAGCUGUUCCAGCUCCCUGUCUCCUUCUGUGGCCUUCUCUGGACCCGCUCUUAACUGGUUGAUGCCUUCCCUGUGCUGGGGAGCUGGAUGCAGCAGGUGAGGAGGAGCCACAGCAGAGUGCAGCGGAAGGGCAGAAUCGCCUGCCCUGCUCUGCUGAGCACUUUGAAGAGCCAGGUCCUGCAGCUGCAGCAGGAGCUUGUGCACGCUGGCAGAGUGCAGCCUCUGGCAGAGUCCUCCCACGAAGCCCAGAAGCUUUGCAGCAGCUGCCUGCAGCAGAAGAGCAGUGAGCUGCAGAGGGAGAAUGUCAGUUUGCAGGAGGAGCUGGAGAGAUCUGAAGCUAAGGGUCCAAGGUGAACAUUGCAGGCUGAGCAGCACAGCCCAGGAGCAAGCCAGGAGCACUGCAGCCCUUCAUAAAGACCUGCAAGCUGCUGCCUCGUGCCUGUGGAUGCCUUGGCCAGAAGAUGCAGCUCCAUACUGCAGCGAGCAGACCUCCAAAGAUGAACGUCCAGGACUAAGAAGGGACUCACUGCCACUGCCCAGAGCCGGAGGACCUGGCCUCGAUGGCAAGCUGCAGGGAGGCAUUCCUGGCUGGAGCGUGGCAAAGAGAGUUGGCCGUGGGCAGGCACAAGGUAGCAGGCCUGGCUGUGUGCUGCUCUCCAGCAGUGCCCCUGAGUGGAAGCGGAGCUGAGCCCAGCUCUGCUGUGCCCCCGUGCAGGGAGCUGCCUGCGAGCAGAGCCAGGCCUGGCCCUGGAGCUUGCAAGGUGCUUCUGCACAUCAGCCCCUGGGCUUCCAGAGCUGCACAGGGCCUGGCAGGUGCAGGCUGCCUGCAGUGCCCCUGGGAGGGCAGGAAGGCUUUUCUGCCUGCCUUCAGGGAAAGCUGAGGCCCUGCGUGUGGGGUGUGGUGCUGGGGGCAGUGCUGGCUGCUGUCACUGACUGCUGGCCCAUGGAGCACGGCACAGCUGUGCUGCCUGCAUGGGCACAUGGCAAAGGCCAACUGCUGCCUGCAGGUUGGAGGUGCUUCUGGAUGAGGCAGAGCUGAGGCCAGGGAUGGGGAGAGAGAGUGAAUGGCAGCUGAGUGUGCGUGAGAGGGAGAAGCAGCAGGAUGCAGGCCACUGUGGUCUGGAGGAGCAAGGAGCAGCAGCCCAGCUGAGACAGAGCUGGAGACAGGACAGCGAGACAGAGCUGAGGCAGGGGAAAAGAGAGGGAAAGAAAGCAGCAAUGCUAAAGGCAAAAACCAACGAGGAGAGAAAAAGUGAGGCAGAGAAAGAGUGGGAGAGAAAGAAGGCAAAAGAAAAAGCACCACAAAAGCUCUGCCAGAAGACUGCUCUGGUUUGGCACAGCCCUGGCCAGUCUGUGCCACCUGAUCAGCAGGCCCUGUGCUGGCUCUGGCCUCUGCUCCAGCCUCACUUUCUUCUGCAGAGCCUCAGCAGAGCGGAGUAGGAAGGGAGAGGAACCUCCCUCGCUCUGCUGGGCCCCCUGCAGGUUUGAGCAAGGAGAGGAGUGAGAGGCAGCAGCACCUGGCCUGCUGGGGACUCCAUGUCCCUCUCCCCACUGCUAAUGAAGCACAAAGCUGAGAUCUUCCCCACUCUGCUGCAUGGGCCACGGAGAAGCAGUCGCAGGCUGCUGGCCUCAGCUGAGCUGCAGCAGCUGCAGGAGGCAGGGUGAGAGCAGGGGCUGAGGCCAAGGAAGUAAGGCUCAACUCUGGAGCUGCUCCUGAGUGCCCCAGGGGUGGAGGAACCUUUGCAUCUACUCUGCCUUGCAGUGGCUUCUGCUGCUGGGCACUGAGCCCAGAGGAGGCAGGGCAGGGCUGUGCCACAGCAACAAAAGGUUACUCUGGAGAGCUGGAGGGUUUAAUUUGGAGAGUGGGAAGCAUUCAGCCUGGGCCUGGGCUGCAGCCUCCAAGGGGCAGAGCGGAUGAGGGUGAGGCUGGCCCAGGCUCAGGAAGCUGACAGGGCAGGGUCAAGAGAAGCUGCAGGCAGCAGCAGACAUUUUGCACUGAGCUGAGCUGCAGGACUGGAUGAAAAAGCUGAAAGCUGAGCUUUGUGCUGGCCUAGGCAGCGGUGGGGAGCAGCGGGAGGGAAGCUGCUGGGGGCACAGCAGGGCUGCU